rnacentral:snoRNA from 1 species
AAGCAAUGAUUUAGACAUCUCCUCAAUAAAGAAUUAAAUCGUUCCCAAGCUUCAUAGAAUGGCUUAUUUGGUCCUUGCCUAAAAGUAGAAAUCUCAGCUUUUUCCUU